CCAGCCUGGUCUCCCACGCCCUCCUCCUCAGUCUGCACGUCGGCCACACCGGCCUUCCGUCAGCCUCUCGUACCUGCCAAGCUCCUUCCUGCCUUGAGUCCAAGCCCCUGCGUGGAAUGCUUCUCCUCUCUGCCCUGCCCGAAAAGGAACUCAAUUGGAAAGUGAUGCAGAUUUUCAACAAAUGGGAUCAAAAGGAGCUACCUCUGUUCCUGCUGCGCUUGGACAAUCAACAGUUCCCAGGACUUGCUGCCCCGACAUGGCCUAGGAACUCCGCCCCGCGCUGAGCCAGAGGCACUCCCAUUCUGGCCACUUGUGUG